UAAUACGUAGGGCGCGAGCGUUGUCCGGAAUUAUUGGGCGUAAAGAGCUCGUAGGUGGCUUGUUGCGUCUGCCGUGAAAGCCCGUGGCUUAACUACGGGUCUGCGGUGGAUACGGGCAGGCUAGAGGCUGGUAGGGGCAAGUGGAAUUCCUGGUGUAGCGGUGAAAUGCGCAGAUAUCAGGAGGAACACCGGUGGCGAAGGCGGCUUGCUGGGCCAGUUCUGACGCUGAGGAGCGAAAGCGUGGGGAGCGAACAGGAUUAGAUACCCUGGUAGUCCACGCUGUAAACGUUGGGCGCUAGGUGUGGGGGUCUUCCACGAUUCCUGUGCCGUAGCUAACGCAUUAAGCGCCCCGCCUGGGGAGUACGGCCGCAAGGCUAAA
rnacentral:rRNA from 1 species